rnacentral:rRNA from 1 species
AGAAGCGCAUACGGUGGAUGCCUUGGCAGUCAGAGGCGAUGAAAGACGUGGUAGCCUGCGAUAAGCUUUGGGGAGUCGGCAAACAGACUGUGAUCCAGAGAUCUCUGAAUGGGGGAACCCACUCAGCAUAAGCUGAGUAUCUUGUACUGAAUACAUAGGUGCAAGAGGCGAACCAGGGGAACUGAAACAUCUAAGUACCCUGAGGAAAAGAAAUCAACCGAGAUUCCCUUAGUAGUGGCGAGCGAACGGGGACCAGCCCUUAAGUUGAUUUGAGAUUAGUGGAACGCUCUGGAAAGUGCGGCCAUAGUGGGUGAUAGCCCCGUACACGAAAAUCUCUUGUCAAUGAAAUCGAGUAGGACGGAGCACGAGAAACUUUGUCUGAAUAUGGGGGGACCAUCCUCCAAGGCUAAAUACUACUGACUGACCGAUAGUGAACCAGUACCGUGAGGGAAAGGCGAAAAGAACCCCGGAGAGGGGAGUGAAAUAGAACCUGAAACCGUAUGCGUACAAGCAGUGGGAGCCUACUUUGUUAGGUGACUGCGUACCUUUUGUAUAAUGGGUCAGCGACUUAUAUUCAGUGGCGAGCUUAACCGAAUAGGGGAGGCGUAGCGAAAGCGAGUCUUAAUAGGGCGUUUAGUCGCUGGGUAUAGACCCGAAACCGGGCGAUCUAUCCAUGGGCAGGUUGAAGGUUAGGUAACACUGACUGGAGGACCGAACCGACUACCGUUGAAAAGUUAGCGGAUGACCUGUGGAUCGGAGUGAAAGGCUAAUCAAGCUCGGAGAUAGCUGGUUCUCCUCGAAAGCUAUUUAGGUAGCGCCUCAUGUAUCACUCCAGGGGGUAGAGCACUGUUUCGGCUAGGGGGUCAUCCCGACUUACCAAACCGAUGCAAACUCCGAAUACCUGGAAGUGCCGAGCAUGGGAGACACACGGCGGGUGCUAACGUCCGUCGUGAAAAGGGAAACAACCCAGACCGUCAGCUAAGGUCCCAAAGUCAUGGUUAAGUGGGAAACGAUGUGGGAAGGCUUAGACAGCUAGGAGGUUGGCUUAGAAGCAGCCACCCUUUAAAGAAAGCGUAAUAGCUCACUAGUCGAGUCGGCCUGCGCGGAAGAUGUAACGGGGCUCAAACCAUGCACCGAAGCUACGGGUGUCAUCUUUGAUGACGCGGUAGAGGAGCGUUCUGUAAGCCUGUGAAGGUGAGUUGAGAAGCUUGCUGGAGGUAUCAGAAGUGCGAAUGGCGUAACGAUGGCGGCGCUGUCUCCACCCGAGACUCAGUGAAAUUGAAAUCGCUGUGAAGAUGCAGUGUAUCCGCGGCUAGACGGAAAGACCCCGUGAACCUUUACUAUAGCUUUGCACUGGACUUUGAAUUUGCUUGUGUAGGAUAGGUGGGAGGCUUUGAAGUGGGGACGCCAGUUCUCAUGGAGCCAUCCUUGAAAUACCACCCUGGCAACUUUGAGGUUCUAACUCAGGUCCGUUAUCCGGAUCGAGGACAGUGUAUGGUGGGUAGUUUGACUGGGGCGGUCUCCUCCCAAAGAGUAACGGAGGAGUACGAAGGUGCGCUCAGACCGGUCGGAAAUCGGUCGUAGAGUAUAAAGGCAAAAGCGCGCUUGACUGCGAGACAAACACGUCGAGCAGGUACGAAAGUAGGUCUUAGUGAUCCGGUGGUUCUGUAUGGAAGGGCCAUCGCUCAACGGAUAAAAGGUACUCCGGGGAUAACAGGCUGAUACCGCCCAAGAGUUCAUAUCGACGGCGGUGUUUGGCACCUCGAUGUCGGCUCAUCACAUCCUGGGGCUGAAGCCGGUCCCAAGGGUAUGGCUGUUCGCCAUUUAAAGUGGUACGCGAGCUGGGUUUAGAACGUCGUGAGACAGUUCGGUCCCUAUCUGCCGUGGACGUUUGAGAUUUGAGAGGGGCUGCUCCUAGUACGAGAGGACCGGAGUGGACGAACCUCUGGUGUUCCGGUUGUCACGCCAGUGGCAUUGCCGGGUAGCUAUGUUCGGAAGAGAUAACCGCUGAAAGCAUCUAAGCGGGAAACUUGCCUCAAGAUGAGAUCUCACUGGGAUCUUGAAUCCCCUAAAG